rnacentral:rRNA from 1 species
CAGCCGCCACGGUAAGACAGAGGAUGCAAGCGUUAUCCGGAAUGAUUGGGCGUAAAGGGCUCGCAGGCGGUUUCUUAAGUCUGAUGUGAAAGCCCCCGGCUCAACCGGGGAGGGUCAUUGGAAACUGGGAAACUUGAGUGCAGAAGAGGAGAGUUGAAUUCCACGUGUAGCGGUGAAAUGCGUAGAGAUGUGGAGGAACACCAGUGGCGAAGGCGACUCUCUGGUCUGUAACUGACGCUGAGGAGCGAAAGCGUGGGGAGCGAACAGGAUUAGAUACCCCAGUAGUCCCUGUCUCUUAUAC